AUUGAACGCUGGCGGCAUGCUUUACACAUGCAAGUCGAGCGGUAACAGGCCUUCGGGUGCUGACGAGUGGCGAACGGGUGAGUAAUGCAUCGGAACGUACCCAGAGGUGGGGGAUAACGCAGCGAAAGCUGUGCUAAUACCUCAUGUGAUCUGAGGAUGAAAGCGGGGGACCGAGCAGCAAUGUUUGGCCUCGCGCCUUUGGAGCGGCCGAUGUCGGAUUAGCUAGUUGGUGGGGUAAAGGCCUACCAAGGCGACGAUCCGUAGCUGGUCUGAGAGGACGACCAGCCACACUGGAACUGAGACACGGCCCAGACUCCUACGGGAGGCAGCAGUGGGGAAUUUUGGACAUAGGGCGCAAGCCUGAUCCAGCAAUGCCGCGUGCGGGAAGAAGGCCUUCGGGUUGUAAACCGCUUUUGGCAGGAACGAAACGGUGUCCGCUAAUACCGGGCGCUAAUGACGGUACCUGCAGAAUAAGCACCGGCUAACUACGUG
rnacentral:rRNA from 1 species